UCCUGGCUCAGGAUGAACGCUAGCGGCAGGCCUAAUACAUGCAAGUCGAACGGCAGCGGGUCCAGCAAUGGAUGCCGGCGAGUGGCGCACGGGUGCGUAACACGUAUGCAAUCUACCCAUUACUUGAGAAUAGCCCGGAGAAAUUCGGAUUAAUACUCAAUGAUACUAUUGGAAGGCAUCUUCCGAUAUUUAAAGAUUUAUCGGUAAUGGAUGAGCAUGCGGCUGAUUAGUUAGUUGGUAGGGUAACGGCCUACCAAGACAAUGAUCAGUAGGGGUUCUGAGAGGAAGGUCCCCCACACUGGUACUGAGAUACGGACCAGACUCCUACGGGAGGCAGCAGUAGGGAAUAUUGGGCAAUGGACGAGAGUCUGACCCAGCCAUGCCGCGUGCAGGAAGAAGGCCCUCGAGGUUGUAAACUGCUUUUGAUCGGGAACAAAAAGCCCUUGCGAGGGAAAUUGAGUGUACCGAUAGAAUAAGCACCGGCUAACUCCGUGCCAGCAGCCGCGGUAAUACGGAGGGUGCAAGCGUUGUCCGGAUUUAUUGGGUUUAAAGGGUGCGUAGGCGGCUUUUUAAGUCAGUGGUGAAAUCCUGCAGCUUAACUGUAGGCGUGCCAUUGAUACUGGGAAGCUUGAGUACAGGCGAGGUUGGCGGAAUUGACGGUGUAGCGGUGAAAUGCAUAGAUAUCGUCAAGAACACCGAUUGCGAAGGCAGCUAACUAGACUGUAACUGACGCUGAGGCACGAAAGUGUGGGGAUCGAACAGGAUUAGAUACCCUGGUAGUCCACACUGUAAACGAUGAUUACUCGAUGUGUGCGAUAUACAGUACGCGUCCAAGCGAAAGCGUUAAGUAAUCCACCUGGGGAGUACGCCCGCAAGGGUGAAACUCAAAGGAAUUGACGGGGUCCGCACAAGCGGUGGAGCAUGUGGUUUAAUUCGAUGAUACGCG
rnacentral:rRNA from 1 species